GCUCUCAUGGGUUAGUGGUAAACUUUCACCUUCCCAAGCCAAGCGUUCUUCUCAUGAAAGAGAGUGCGCGGAUGCAGGAAGUAGGUGGAGCCCCGGGUUCGAUUCCCGGUGGGAGCA